UGAAGAACGCAGCGAAAUGCGAUAAGUAAUGUGAAUUGCAGAAUUCAGUGAAUCAUCGAAUCUUUGAACGCACAUUGCGCCCCUUGGUAUUCCGAGGGGCAUGCCUGUUCGAGCGUCAUUAUAACCCCUCAAGCUCAGCUUGGUGUUGGGGCCUGCUGCACUGGCAGCCCUUAAAAUCAGUGGCGGCGCCAUCUGGCUCUAAGCGUAGUAAUUCUUCUCGCUAUGGAGUCCUGGUGGAUGCUUGCCAUCAACCCCCAAUUUUUCUAUGGUUGACCUCGGAUCAGGUAGGGAUACCCGCUGAACUUAAGCAUAUCAAUAAGCGGAGGA
rnacentral:misc_RNA from 1 species